rnacentral:tRNA from 1 species
UUCCCUGUAGCUCAGUUGGUAGAGCAUGGUGUUUGCAAUGCCAGGGUUGUGGGUUCGAUUCCCACAGGGGGCA